rnacentral:rRNA from 1 species
UACGAAGGGGGCUAGCGUUGUUCGGAAUUACUGGGCGUAAAGGGCGCGUAGGCGGCGUGUCAAGUCAGGCGUGAAAGCCCCGGGCUCAACCUGGGAACCGCGCUUGAGACUGGCAUGCUCGAGUUCGGGAGAGGAUGGUGGAAUUCCCAGUGUAGAGGUGAAAUUCGUAGAUAUUGGGAAGAACACCAGUGGCGAAGGCGGCUCACUGGCCUGGUAUUGACGCUGAGGUGCGAAAGCGUGGGGAGCAAACAGG